CACAGUUUGUUCACAGGAAUCACACUGCCCAGGCAUGGAUGACGGAGUGACCCCAGGAUCACAGAGAAGUCUCCGAUCUGACCAGCGGAUCAUCCACUCUACCAGUCUCCCCGCAUCGCCGAACAUGCUCUGCAGUGCCAGAGGAAGGUCUUCCCGAGGGGGGCCAGCACUGCCCUCAAGAGCUCGGAAUCUGUGUCUUCCGGGUUUAAUGGACUCGGGUACCCAAAAGGAAUGGUUUGAUGAUCUCUGCACUGUGGGCUUCUCUCGCUUGUCAUCUGGAACUCUAUACAUUGGCUUUUGUUUUAAGCCAAACAAUCCUGCCCUUCUUUCCCAGUUCAUGACAUCAGACUGCAGAGGGUUCUCCGACGUGCUCCCUGACUGCAGAGGGUUCUCCAAGGUGCUCCCUGACUGGUUACCUAGUGCUGAAGCUGAAAGGGCCUGGCUUUCGAAAUGUCGGGCACCCACACUGUUUAGAGAGGACAGGUUUUCAGGUUCCUGUGACUCAGGAGUGACAGCAAAGCAGGAACCAGCUCUGUACACAUUCUCACUGAUGGUCUUGCUCUGGCGUCGUUUUAAUGUUGUGUGUACAUCAAAAAGUAAAGAAUUAAGUUCAUGUUCUCUAAGGCGCCCAGAAAAGCUUGUCAAAAAUGGAAUGCCAGGGUCACUGGAACAAAGGUCUCUUUCAAGAAUAUAACUCAGGAAGAGCUCAAGGAAGCUAAUAUAUUCAUCAUCAUCACGUUCAAAUUCCCAAACACCAAUGACAGGCAGUGCUUCCUUCCCUGGUGUCUCAUCAUCUUCCUUCCUUUGGGAGUU
rnacentral:lncRNA from 1 species